rnacentral:misc_RNA from 1 species
ACCUCCUUUCUAAGGAAGCUGUGGAACUGGUAAGACGCUGAGACAUGUCUCAGAUGAACCUUCCCGUGCUUUUUAGAACAUAGAUGGCACCAGUCAGGUGACCAUCGAAACGUAAUACGCCGCGUAGACUUCGGUCACGACGGUAUGGCGAGCUGCGCCGUCCACGUUUCUCUUUCUUCACAAGGAUAUCGAACCAUAGCUAGACUGCGCUUCCGCGCUGUUUCUUGGCUUUUGGUGCUGUGCCUGAUGGUGCAGGACCUUUUAAGAGAUGGGCCCGUAGCUCAGUUGGUUAGAGCACACGCUUGAUAAGCGUGGGGUCGGAAGUUCAAGUCUUCCCGGGCCCACCAUCUGCUUUUGUGGAUGGUCUGCUUGCGGUUUACUGAUCCCUGACGGUUUGACUGUCGGGUGUUUGCGAUGGUUGGGGCUGUAGCUCAGCUGGGAGAGCACCUGCUUUGCAAGCAGGGGGUCAGCGGUUCGAUCCCGCUCAGCUCCACCAAUUCGCUUUGGUGUCGAGACUGAACGGUUGAUAUCCUUUGAAGAAAAACAAGUUUUGCAUCGGCUUCGGCCUGAUGCCUGUUCUGCAUAUAUCGUGAAGAGAAGAUUGAUCUGGAGGCUUCCAGGUGUUGUGAGUUUUACUCAUGACGUCCGAGCCCAGUUCCUGAGAAACCAUGGAUGGCCUAGCCGGCCGGAUAUGGUGGAGGGACUGGAGGUAGGUAGGAAGCUUGUCGCUCUGGGUCGUUGUUGUUUGGUCAUCUUUAGGGGUGAGCAUCUGACGGACGACUUGAUUACCGUUGCCUGACCGCGCGGUAUCGGAUCAAAUCUCGAGAAGCUGGUCUUAAGACCUGACACAAGCGAGCUGCUCGGCGUAGCUCCAAUAAAGUGAUCAGGUCGAACACGUCGAUGGCAUUGUUGGAUUGACUGGGUUGUAAAAGGUAACCCGGUCUGUUGCCGUUUCUUUGAAGCGGGCAACGAGAUGAUGAGCAUUGGCAAUGAGAACGAUUAAGUGUCGUAAGGGCAUUUGGUGGAUGCCUUGGCAUGCACAGGCGAUGAAGGACGUGAUACGCUGCGAUAAGCCGUGGGGAGCUGCGAAUAGCCUUACC